rnacentral:rRNA from 1 species
GACGUAGGAGGCGAGCGUUGUCCGGAUUCAUUGGGCGUAAAGAGCGCGCAGGCGGCUUGGUAAGUCGGAUGUGAAAUCCCGAGGCUCAACCUCGGGUCUGCAUCCGAUACUGCCCGGCUAGAGGUAGGUAGGGGAGAUCGGAAUUCCUGGUGUAGCGGUGAAAUGCGCAGAUAUCAGGAGGAACACCGGUGGCGAAGGCGGAUCUCUGGGACGGUACUGACGCUGAGACGCGAAAGCGUGGGGAGCAAACAGG